rnacentral:rRNA from 1 species
AACGCAGCAAAGGGCGAUAAGUAAUGUGAAUUGCAGAAUUCAGUGAAUCAUCGAAUCUUUGAACGCACAUUGCGCCCCUUGGUAUUCCGAGGGGGCAUGCCUGUUCGAGCGUCAUUAUGACCAACUCAAGCUCAGCUUGGUAUUGGGGCUCCGCGGUCUCGCGGCCCCUAAAAUCAGUGGCGGCACCGCCCGGCUCUAAGCGUAGUAACUUUCUCGCUAUGGACCCCGGGUGGCUGCUCGCCAGCAACCUCUAAAUACUCACGGUUGACCUCGGAUCAGGUAGGGAUACCCGCUGAACUUAA